CACGUAGGGUGCGAGCGUUGUCCGGAAUUAUUGGGCGUAAAGAGUUCGUAGGCGGUUUGUCGCGUCGUCCGUGAAAACUUGGGGCUCAACCCCAAGCUUGCGGGCGAUACGGGCAGACUUGAGUACUGCAGGGGAGACUGGAAUUCCUGGUGUAGCGGUGAAAUGCGCAGAUAUCAGGAGGAACACCGGUGGCGAAGGCGGCUCACUGGACCGGCAUUGACGCUGAUGUGCGAAAGCGUGGGGAGCAAACAGG
rnacentral:rRNA from 1 species